rnacentral:rRNA from 14 species
CUUUAGACCCGAAACCGAGUGAUCUAGCCAUGUGCAGGAUGAAGGUGGGGUAACACCCACUGGAGGUCCGAACCAGUGCCCGUUGAAAAGGUCUUGGAUGACGUGUGGCUAGGGGUGAAAGGCCAAUCAAACUCCGUGAUAGCUGGUUCUCCCCGAAAUGCAUUUAGGUGCAGCGUCGUGUGUUUCGUGCCGGAGGUAGAGCACUGGAUGGUCUAGGGGGCCCACAAGCUUACCGAA